rnacentral:lncRNA from 1 species
AAAGAAACCCAGGCUGGAGUUCCAACUGGCCAGAACGGAGUAGUCACGGAGGCCAAAGGAUGAGCCCUUGUGAUUAACCUGCUUGGAUCAAGUCCCCAUCUCUCGGCUUGUUGGAACAUCUACAGGAUGCACGUGGUUCAAGAAGGAUCUACGUGAAGAUGCCUUCUCCAUUCCUGUUUUUAUCCCUCAAGUUUUUCUUCCCUCUAUUUUAUCUAUGUGUUUACAGAGGGACAUGGAGAUAGCACCAGCCCCCAUCACUCUCCAUCUGAUGUAAACUCUGACAUCUAACCAAGAGGAGUGGCCAGUGUUUGUCUUGAGCAGGGGGGCUGCACAUGGCAAGGGCCCUACCAGUGAGAGCAGGAUUCCGGCUGAGUGGCCCCAGGGCAUAGGUCCCACUGAAUUCAUUUUUACUGGCAGGACAGACGUGAACGGGCUCCAGCAGAAAUCUCUAAUCCACUGCUGCAGGGGUUUCUAUGUUUCAGGCACUUGAUAAUGAGAACCAAAUUUUUUUUUUUUUUUUGAGAACCAGAAAUUUUUGUGUGCUGAAAACUGGGGAAAGGGAGGAAGAGGGGAGUUUUUUGUAAGAGGACAGAGAGAGAAAAGGGAACCUGUUUUGUGUCUUGAAUCUUGAUCCUGCAGCCUUCCCCUGUUUUCUUUUUGGUAUAUGUCAGCUCAAGAGCUUGCUUGGGGCUUCCCCCAGUCAGCUCUUUGGGGACAGGAAACAAUGCUUGCUAGAUUUCAGGUCUUAUUCUUAAUCAGCUUGAAAAUUUAGUCAGAAUAAUUCGAGGUACAUAAAAUUGUAAAAAAAAAAAAUCUAUUAAUUAGCUACCCACAGGCUACCUUCUCAAGUUCAAUUUGAGCCCUAAGGAGAAAAUGACAUACAGCUCUGUUGUACAGCCGGGUAUGGAAACCACCUCCCGGGGUAGAAGCAUUAGCAGAGCUACUGCCUCUCAAGGAUUCAGAAGGAAGGCCUUGGGAGCUCAUUACUGGAUCACUGAACUGGGGAGAACCACAGUUCCCUCAGCUCUUUGCUUUAUAUGCAGAUUGCAGUUUGUGUGACAACAGUCUCCGAAAAGGACCAAGCUUCCACUCUGCUAAUGACAGCUGACGUUUCUAAUCGCCCGAGAGGCACGGAUGUCUCAUUUCAGGAGACGCGCAUAGAGGGCUCGUCUGGCCUUGAAAUUCUGAAUUUUGAAAAGAGUUCAAGGUGAUGAUACCAAUGUUGCUGGUCCUGAGAACGAACUGUGAAGAGCAAGGGGCUAAGUCACAUGGAAGAUAUAGGGGAGCUGACGCCUCAGGAAUUUCCUCCUUGACUUCUGCAAGAGGUCACCUGGCAAAUCUAAGUCAGACGCUAGACAGCAAAUGGCUAUAGCUUGUUUAACUGGGAUUUCGUUUCUGAUGGACAGAGCGUGAGGACAGCCGCUCUGAUAAGGUGCAGUGUGUGUUUGAUUCUGGAGUUCCGGUAGGAACGUUUUACUUCAUCCUAGAAUAUGUCUGUCGAGUGGCACCUCCUUACAGUGACCUUUGGCCCCAGAAGUACAGUUUUAUGGAAGUUGGAGCCAGCAGUCUGUCUGGGCAUUUCUGAAGUUUCAGUAGCGCCCAUAAAACAGCCUCCCAGACUGCUGAUGUGGUCACCGGGGCCUCUGUCCCUGCAGAGUUAUUAGGAAGAGCUACUGCCUCUGAGACACCAGGAGAUGCACAAGCUCUGAUAAUUAGAAUGAAAUAAAAUCGAUGACU